GCGGAGCGCGCGAACUUAACCAUUCGGCCACGGGGCCGGCCCCAAGUGCUUUCUUUUUUUUUAAAACCUCUGUCACUGGCCACCCAGGACUUAAGAGGAACUUUCCUGUAAAUAUAAAGCACAGUCUGAAAUGGGAACCAACCGCACACAGAAGCUGUGAGAGCUGCGAGCACGUCUGUGAACAUGGCAGUAGGAAGUGAGGACACUAGGGAUUCUAAUAUUUGAGUAGUCGUCAGGCCUCUAAUCAUUGCUUUCUCUUUCACCAAGCUCAGUAUCAGCAGGACUUUUUAAAAAAUUGUAGAUAUUUAAAGUUGCGCUCCUGUUCUUUUGACAUUAUGCAGAAUGGUCCUCUUUCCAUGGAGGAGAUUCAUGGGUCUUGGGGGUGAGGGCAGAGGGAUGACUGUGGCGUAGUGCAGGUGGUUUGAAUUAAAUUCUUAACGCUACUUAUCGAUGCUCUUUUUACUCCUCCUCCAUUUGAAGAUCGUGUUCAUAUCAUGCGAAUGGUUUCCAUAUUCUUCUUUUUAAAAUUAACAGUUUAGUAAAGAUUACAUGUCUCAUUAAUGAAAAUUUCCUUCCAGCGUAUAAGACACAAAUAGUCUGAUUAAAUUUUUUCCAUAUAUUCUUCAUGUUUGUCUUGAGUGUUCAAAAAUGAGAAAUAGAGCAGUUGGGGUGUACAUCGCAAAGUGUCACCAGGUUAGAAACUAAGGGCUUCGUGGUGCUGGGUAACAAAUACAUGGAUGCACUUGGUUUAUUUGUUUCUAUUCUUCAGUUCUCAUUAAGUGGAAGCCAGGAGUGUGCUCCUCCCACCUUCGUGAGCUCCCUCUCCCCACCCUUCCCGCCCAAGAUAGAAGCACAUGAACAGCCUGAAAAUAAAGCACAGGCUUUUUUUAAGCUCCUCUCUAAGCAAAAUAUCUACUAGUCCCUUCAGAAAAUGAGUUCCGUCCCCACUGGUACUCCUUAAGGUGGGAUAAAAGCAAUUUUUCUUGCUCCAUUUGUUCAGUUGUCAUGAAAUUCUACUCUUCUCUGGUAUAAAUGAUCAGAUUUGGCUAAAGCCAAGAGAAAUACAAAAGGUCAUAUUUCAGCCCCUCGUGGCCAGUUUUCAACGGGCGCUUUGGUGUGAAAGCCACGUGGCCACUGUGUUAAUGUGACGGGGUCUUAUAAAUAAAUGUUUUUCUGGCCCUGUCUCAGACAAAUCUGAAAAAGUUCUUUCUUUUCCAAACCCCAGGGAUGGCACUCAGAGGCUGUGUCUUCAGUGUCUCAGUGCCCCGUAGAGAAGAUGAUUUCCAUAUUUGAAAUUUGGGGACAAAUGAAAAUAACUCCCAUUCUUUCUUGGAAGGGUUAAUGCUCUAACCAGCCUCAGAUUGGUUCACUUGUAUCUUAAAAUUACUUUUCUGGUCACGCGCACUGAAGGUCCAAGCAUUUGUGAAAUGUCUUUUUUUCCUUUCUCCUGAUGCUGUUCCCUGUUGGCUCUCUUAAUUACACAGGGGUUGAGAAACCAAAUUAAAAUUAGGCGUGGCUGGUAAACAGUGAUCACGUUGCAUGCUUUUCGCUUUGCUUGUUGGAUUUCCUUCUCCUCCCUGUGCUGUUUGCCUCCCCACUUUUCCUUUCAAAGGAAAUAUCAUAAGCUCUUUUAGAAAUACUCACAGGAAGUGAGUAUCCAUAUGCUGGUUGCUCGCCAGCAACCAAGCAUUGACAGGUGGAGAAUGCGGCUGCAGCCUUCGCAGAUUUAUUUGAACAUUUCCACCCGAGCAGAGGAUUAAAUUCAGGGUGUACAGACCAAAGGGUUUUUGUAUACUGAGGGAGUUCUAAGGGGAAAUUGGUCAUCGCGUGUCAUCUUGAGGGACAGUGAUUCAGGGAACCGUAAUAGGGGUCAGCAAGGCACGUGGCUGCCGUCCCUGAGGUUUCUGCUCACUUCUCAGAGGGCAGGCUCCCUUCUAAAAAUUAAUGCUCCCUCCACCGCCAACAACGAUUCUUUUGCAGUGAAUCACUUCCAGAAAUGAAUAGCCACAGUUUUUUGGAAUGAACGUUGUGAAACCCCUCGUUUAUAAUGGCAGGUUUUCAGUUGGUGGUUUUAUCAGAGACAAUUUCUCAAGAUCAAAACGAAACCUCCUCUUUAAAAAGAAAGAAAGUACUCUCGAUACAGAAAGCAAAAGUAUUUCCAGUCUCCUGCUGAAGAAGUGUCCCGGAAGGUCUCGGUACCUAUAUUUAGAGACACAUGUCCAUCUAUUUGCCGGAAUGUGUGAGUUCUUGGAAUUGUGGAUUCAUUGCCGGUGGCUGGUGAUUUCCUAUGCCGAAGGUCGCUGAGUAGAAGCAGUGUUGUAUGCGGUGAGUAGGUGGUAGAUUCCGAAGAUUAAUGCUAAACCAGUGUUUAUCGUCUUUGAGUUGUGGAUUCACAGACUGCUAGCACGCUCUUAAAUACUUCUGCUUUAUAUGAUUUAAUGCAUGGAACUGCAGGACUCAGAGAAGCCUGUAAAGGGUCUUUCAGAACAUGGAUUAAUUGAGUAAUCCUCGAAUCUUUUGAAUAUCCUAGUUCUUUUCGGGAGGAAAGGAUGUUUUACAGAAGGAAGCCGUUCGUAGGGGGCUUUUAGAUGUUCAGUUACUGCUCUUCUAUAUAUUUUUUAAGAAUCACUUUAUCCUCUUGUGUGAAAGAAAGAAAUUACUACAUGGUCUCCACGGAGAAAAAGUUCUAACUCUUUAAGUGAAGAAACUUCAUCCACACGUUACUCCUAACUGGAUUUUUUUUUUUCCUCUUAAACAUUCGCAAGGGGAAACUAGCCCGUGAAGAAGACUAACCUUCUGGCGGGACCUACGAUGGGUCUCGUUCGGACCCACUGGGCUCUCCGUAGGUUGUCGGCAGCACGUUUAUCAGAGGGCAGAGAGGGGGAAUACGGUUACUGGAAACAGUGAGUGCAGUUUAAGGAAUUGUUGUCUUUCGAGAGUGGAUAAGUCGUUUGACCUACUGACUCAUUUCACAGGAAUUGGGAAAACAACGUAGUGUGGUUUUCAUUGUUAGUCCUGGAGGAUUCCAAAAUCUGUGUCUGCAAAUAAGAUGAGCUGGAGCGACGUGCUGUGCCACUUGCUGUUUCUACUUGCCUGUUCUCCUAAUCGAAGUGAACCCCUUGCUUCCAAGACAAGCCCAGCCCGUGCUCGGGGACCCUCGUGUGACUGUUCCGUGGUGAGUGUGCAUGAUGGCGAUUUCUGAUUUUCACAAGUUCUUAUUUCUAAAUGGCAUUUCAUCAAAGGAAAAGCUUUAAAGAGCAUUUUUUCCUGGCCACGUUUAUACUGUCUUUCAUAUUUACCUGUAGAAAACACUCUGGGUGUGGUGAUAAUUAUAAACAAUAACAUAACCUGUAGACAACAAUGAAAAUUAAGAGUUAAGAUAUAUUUUGAUAGAUUUUUGCAGCAUAUUGACAUGAAGGCAGUUUUGAUUUUGACAUAUUUAUGUUAAGUGAUUUUUUGUAAUGUUAUUUAAAACACAGAUAUGGAAGAUAACAGUAUAUUCUAGCAAAAAAAUAUAAUUACUCAUAGUUAAUGAAAGGGAUAUGUUUGGGGCUGGUAAAAUACUAUUUAUGUGCAGAGAAACUUUGGAUUCAUGAUGUUUUGGUUUUAAACCAAUAAGCUAAAGGUAUCAAGAGAAGAUAAAGCAAGUAUAUUGAACUUGGAUAAAAGUAGAAACAGAGAUGUUUGAAGUGACUGAUAUUUAAAGUGUUAGAUUAUUGCCUCGUAUAAUUUCAUGUAUGCUGGAUCCCCCAAAUCACACCCUCACAUUAUAUUCUUCAUUAAGGUAAAAGAUGCUUGCUGUAUAAUUAUUAUGGAAUUUCUCAUCCUCUCUGGAGAUGGCUGAGUAGAAAUUGAGUCAGUCAUGUUGGUGCUGUUUAUUCAGUUUACUGCUUCAUGUCUGAAUGCCUUACAAUUGGAGUUCUUAAUCUUUUCAGGGUGUCAGGCCCCUUUGAGAUUCUGAUGAAAGCCAUGAAUCCUUUUACCAGGCUCAUGCACAAGCAUCUGCCUGCAUUUUUGGGGCAUUGCCCCAGGGAAGCCCAUCCUCGGCCACCAGGUUCAGGGCGCCGGCCUAGAGCAAGACCCUACCGCGAUUCUGCCAUUCUCUAACCUCCCAGUAAACGCUGUGAUUUAAAAAAGGAGACAUCCCAAGUCAAAAAGAAGUCACUCUCUGUGGUUGCUAGGUGGGGGUGCAAGGCCUGAGAGGAGGAGGAAGGGUGGAGAAAAUACUUGACUACUAUUAAAUAAAUAAAGGGAAUGGUUAAUAUGACCAGAACCUCCAAACAGAUAGCCCAGCAUCCCUAAACAUUUAGCCACAUGUAUGUGUAAAGUACAUUGCGAAUUCCAGUAGACACUUAAAGAUUCAAUGUUAAACACUUGGGGAGAGUUUUCCUCAUAUAUAAUGAAAUCUUGUUUCUUUUCCAUUGUGUAUGUUACCAAAUUAGGUAGGACUGCAAAUCCUCUGAACUCCAGAAAUAUAACAAACUGGAAAAAUGAUUCUCUGUGAGCAGAAGAAAUUUGGUGGCAAUAGAUAUAAGGUAGUUUAGUUGAGUACAAAGGCAUCCCAUUUGCCCAUCAACUAAAUUUGUCAGUACUGUAAGGCUGUUGUGGAAAAAAUAGACAUGAUUCUUGGCUGUACUGAAAGGAGUAUGACAUAAAAGGGUAAGAAAAUCAGACUCAUUAUUGUGUCCAAUUUGAGUCACAUUUGAAAAAAGAUUUUGGGUAAUUGUGAAGAGCUGAUACACAAGCAACAGAAGUUAUACACCGUUCUAGCAAAGAUAAAGUACCUGAGGAUCUUAGUCCGAAAAAGGCUAAAGGAUUUCUUGCUAAUGGUCUGUGAGUAGUAAGGAUCUGAUUUAGCCUUAUAUCCUUGGGGCCUAACACACUGCCUGUUUUCAGUAAGGUGUAGAGCUUUAAAAGACUGUCCUGUGUAGGGACGUUAGUAACACUUCUCUGGUGUACUUGGCAGGAACAAUAGAUUCAAAUAAAACCAAGGAGGUAUAUCAGAACGUAAGGUAUGAAAUAAAUAAAUUUGUUGGCUGAUGAAUAAGUAAGAAAGACCAUUUCGAUUGCCAAGAUAAUAACACAGGUUAGUGGCUAGCUGAUGGAAGUGACAAAAUCUUUGGUUGAGAUCUCUUUCAAGAUGAGAAUAGGUAACUCCGUUUUAGAUAGUGGAAACGUUUAUUAAUUCAUUCAACAAACAGCGAGGGCCUAUUUUGCUAGGUGCUCACCAUCUGGUAGAGGAGGCAGAGAUACAAAAACAAAUGCACAAGGCAUGCUUAGUGCGACAGUCACAUAAAAACAGCAUGCUGUGGGACCUUGUAACACUUAACCGCCAUCCGUGAGGCUUCCUUACAGAGGCGAUGUCCGAAUUGACUCUUAAAGGACAGCCUUCAAGGAAUUAGCUAGACGAGGGGGCAGACAUCAUAGUGAGGGCUUCAGGCAGAAGGAACAGCCUAUGCAGAGGCUCAGAGCUGUGAGAUGUGACAGGGGUGGGGAAAGGAGUGAUGAGAGAAGAUGAAGCUGGAGGAGUCAUUGAUGAGAGAGGUAACUCACGCUCCAGGCCGAGCUUGCCUGAAGGUUUCCAUCUGGAAGAGGAACGUGGCCGGAUGUUCUCUUUAGAAAGAUCACACAGACUGCAGAGAAGAGAAUGAGUUAGGGGGAGAGGGAGAAGAGUGGAUAAGUCAGGCAAGACAAGGGGAUCCGGUGGAAAGCAAGCUGCUCUCAACAUCCAUGGGAGAAAUGAUGAGGGCACCAGUGGCGGUGGAUUCAAGGGAGCUUAGUGGGGUUGAAACGAGGGAAAAGGUGAAGUGAGGAUGGAGGCUUUGGUUAUGACGCCGUCUCAUUCACCGCAGAAUGAAAUCCGAGAGGAAAAACAGGUCUGAGGGGAAGAUGAGUUGGCGUGUGGACGUGUGGGAGUGCACCCUGAGCAGGCGGGACUGCGAGACGGAGUGGGUGGGGGCGGCGAGUGCGGAUGUGGGCCUUGAAAUUUGAUGAGCGACAGCAAUUCAAAGUCACUACCUGAUUGGUAGUCUUGACCUCUGCGAAGAGGGGUUUCUAAUGCAAUGGAUCACUCUUUCAGAUUUUUAACAGCGUAUUUUUAAUACUUUUCUAACUAAUCUGUAAUACAACUUCUUUUAAAACGUAGAAUAGUGUAAAGAAUAAAAAUUUUCUCUGAUCCCAUCACCCAAUGCUCUGUUAAUACUUGCUAAUAUAUUUCCUUCUAGUAUUUUCACACACACACACACACACACACACACACACGAGUUUGCAGCAUCAGGAUUGUUCUGUCUUGGCACUUUUGUAUCCCACUUUUUAAAUGAGCAUUUUUCUCCAUGUGCUUACAAGUGCUUUAAAAACACUGUUAAGGGUGCAUUAUAUUCUUGAAUUUCAGACUGUUUACUUCAAUUUUUUAAAAGCUACUUUUACAUUACAAUAAUUAUCCUUUUAAAUAUAAACCUUGGACAUAUUUUUAAUGAUUUCCCAAGGAUAGAUUUCUUGCAGUGAAUUUAAGACAGAGGAGCGAAACUUUUUAAACAUCAUUGAUACGUACUCUUUGCCAAAUUGUUUUUUGGAAAACUUGUGCCAAGUUAAUACACAUUGCAGCAAUGUAUGAAAUGCCUGUCUCACCAUUUCUUCAUUAGUACUCAGUAUUGCGUUUUAAAAAAAUCUUUAGACAAAAACAUUACAUUAUUUUUGGUUCAUUUAUUCAACAGCUAUUUAAUGAAUACCCACACUGUGCCAGGCAGGUGGCAUUUUUUAAUUGCUACCAGUAAAGUUUAACAUUUUCCUGUGUUUAUUAGUCCAUUAUUUCCUUUUAUAAAUGUUCUGUUCUUGUCCACCAUCAGCUUUUCUAUUGAGAGGUGACUGUGACUAUAAUUUAUUUGAGGUCUCUGUGUGUCUUUGUGAUAUUUGGUCAAAUACUUUUCUCAUCUUUGAUUUUUAAUUUUGCUUAUGAUUUUUUUGAGAUACAGAAACUUUACAUUUUUUCUUAGUUGGCUAAAUGAUUUUUGUCUAUUUUUUUCCUUUAUGACUUCUUUUAUUACCUUGGGCUUAGGAAUUCCUUCCCACCCAGAAACUAGAAAAUAUUCUUCUAAUUUUUUUUAAUUUCAUUUUUUACAUUAAACUCACCAAAUUAGAAGGAUUUACACAGUAAAUCCCUCAACAUUGUGUAUGGAGUCAUUUCUCUUUCCCCAGUUAAUUUUUCGUGCUUUCUUUAUUUUAUAUUUCAAGACCUUUCACUCUUACAUCCAGCUAUAGGAGUCCAUGAAUUCUGGGAAUAUUAGCAUUUGAGUUGGAGGUAAUGAUAAUACGUUCUUCCAACAUUUUAUUAUGAAAAAUCACAAGCAUACAGCAAAGUUAAAAGAAUUUUACAGCAAACCUCCCACAUAUGCUACACCAGCUAAAUUCUACAGUUAGGUCUUACCACGUUUUCCUUAAUUACCUAUGUAUUCACGUGAUAAUUUUUAAACCUCUGGAAUCAUUAUUUGAAUUCAAAAGUGGAAUACCAGACAUUUUCUCUCGUUCUCAAACCUAAUUUGUAGGUUUGAUUUCUAGGAAACCUUUAGCAGUUUAUCUUAGUACAGUAAAAUAGUGAACAUCAUAAUACAUACCAAGAGAAACUGCUUUCCAAAAUAUGUUUUCGUCAUUAAAUUUUAUGAAUAUGGUUUGAUGUUUAAGGGUUAUGAUUGUUAUUCACAUACAGUGAAUUUGUUUUUCCAACAUAAGUCCCUCUUAAGGGGUCUGUCCUCCCAUACAGGACCCUUGCUUUUUGCCCUUUUGGCUGGAACUGAAGAGUACAUUUAAGAAAGGAAUGGCAAGUCCCCACAGGAGGCACCGAGAUGCUGUAGAAUUCUGUGGUGGGUGGUCCCUGUCAGGGCUAGCGAGUGGGCUGCCUGGGUCACACUGGGCUUUGAAAGAAGACUUUUGCCAGAGUCAGGCCGCUUUCCCGAGUGGCCACCGUCACUUUCUGCCACGGGAGCCCUUAGCGUAAAGGCUGCUUUGACCAGGGUGGCCUGUCACCCCAGACCAGCCCUGCUGACGUUCAGCACUGAGUGUCCCUGGUUCACGGUGCGUGAUAGGUCAAAUAAACCUUAGCUCAAGGAGCUUAAUCACCUCUUCCCAGCCUAAAUGAUGAGCUCCCUAAAUUCCUGUGAGUUUUUGAGGCCUGUUAGCAUCCCAGCUUAGAGAUGGGUUUGCAACUGUGUCUUAACAUAACCUGACCUCCUGCGUCUGCCUGUUAGCGUGGCCCACAGUGAGCCGAAUGGGAAAAUGCAAAACCUGCCAUAAAAGAUCCACCUCUGGUCACCACUAGAAAUGACCCAUAAUUUCAUUUUUGUGCUGUUUUUUUCCCAUCCAAGCUUCCAUUUCCUGUCUGUAAAAUAAGUUGAUUUUAUUAGAUUACGUAGAAGAUUUUUUUCUUGAUACCAGAUCUGUGAUUUUAAUCUAGAACAUUGAAUGUAGGUCAAUAUCCGCCCCUUUCUCAAAUCUGGGAAGACAAUUUAUUUUUCAGCUUCUCUGAAUAAUACUUUCCAGGGUGUUGUGACCAGUGAUAAAGUUCCUCAGACUCUGGAGCUAGGGCUAGAAUUUUAAAACCAUUAGCUUCUGUGAAAGGAAUGAGAGGGCAUUCCUGAGAUCAUUCAGGGGGAAAAGCCUUACUCACAGGAAGCGUAUUAGCUGACUAGCUACUUAGUGAGCAAGUUCCCACUUCGACCUCCGGGAGUCUCAGUCUGUGGUCCAGUGUCACCUUUGUUCUAAAUUCUGCGCUCUUGGUGAAGAAUGCUGUCAUAUUUUAGAAGUCUAGCCAGCAAAUGCUUUGAAAUUCAAGGAUAGUGAUACUGAAAAAAAUUUACCAUAACCUAAAUUGAUAUUCUGGGGACAUCAGUAUUCAGAAGAGGCAUCCAUCCUAUUAGAGUGAAUGAUUUUCAGGAAAAAUAAAAAAAAGAGCCAGAGUUUUUCUCCUGCCACUGUCCCCUCUCACUUUUAAGCUCCUGCAAGAGUCAGCUUGUUGCUUCCCAAACCUGCUGUGCUGUUUCCUGUUCCCCUGCCUUUGAGAACGCAGUCCGCCACCCAUCUCCACCGUCCCCCCAUCUUACUCCACUGUCCACCUCUCCAACAGCAUCACGCUCCUGGGAAGCUGACUGAGAGGUGCUCCAUCACGUUAACCUCUCCCAGCCCCGGUGCUGCCCUCCGCUCUACCGAAACACAGAUGUUGCAGUGUUGAGUUCACAUGGCUUUCAUUAAUUAGCCAGGAGCGAGGGAGGGUGGUCACAAAGCGCAACUGUAACCUGUUAUUUUCCUUCCUGUUCACAUGUCGAGAAGACUCAUGUAAGAAUCCACUCCUGCCACCAGUCAUCUCCAUGGUGUGCGGAGGGUUUAUGAAUCAUCUUCUAAAUCCACAGCUAGUUUUAAAAUUUAGCUUCCAGGCCAGCUCUGCAGGAGAUAAGAUUGCGAGAUCAUAAACGCUGUGGAGUAAGUAUGAAGUUAUUUACCAGAUCCCAUAACGUUAGCAGUGGGAAUCCUGAGGAGGGUGACAUUAAGAAAGCUGCUUUAUCAGCUGAGUCAUACCUGGAUAGACCCUGGUGUCUCCAAAGGUGUUAACAUGCCAAGAAUAUAAAGAGCUUUAAAGUGAGUUUAAAUUAAAGCAUAAAAUAAAGUUUGGAUAUAUUCCUAGUCAGGGGGGAUAAAUAACAAGUUAGCAAGGAAAAGAAGAGAGAUUUGAGGUACAUCCGUAACUUUUAAGAUACACGUCUUGAAGAGAAACUCUGAUGAAAUAUACCAUGGUGUUACCCUCAAGGAUUAAAAAGAGGGCACAGAAACCGCGUUUCUGAGGGAUCAUGGCUGGUUUCCAGUGUGACAUUUUUAAUGUGCCGGUUUACCUGAGAGUCCUCUCAUAUGAAACUGGACUAUCACCACCGUGAAGAUAAAGUGUCAGUUAGCUGUGACCUCGUGUGUACCAAUAGUGACUAACCCAGGACUCCAGGUCACAGUGGUUGUAUUUCCCGUGGCCUCAGAGUCCUGGGGUCAGGGUUAACAGAGGUCGUUCAUUUCUGUGUUCAAGUCUCUAAUUUUUCAUUCGUGUAAACGAAGGUGAGGGCAGACCUGAUCUAACACAGGUGCAAGCGAUUAGUAACAAUGACAACAGCAGCAGGAGCUCACACUGUUAGCUGAGUGCCGUGUGCCAGGGGCUGUGCCAACGACUUUACUUGGUCAUCUGUUGUAGUAAACAAUACUAAGCGGCAGCUACUGUUAUAAUACCCAUUUUACAGAUAGAAAACUAAGGUUCGGAGAAGGUAAAUCAUUUCCCCCAAGAUGACAGAACUAGAAAGUGGAGGAGCCAGGAUUCAAAUCAAAUUUGGCUCCUAAGCGCAUGCUUUUCAUUUGUAUCCUAUUCAGUUUUCGUAAGUGACUCAUAUUUUGGAGGUAUUUUUAUCCUUUGGGGCCACUCAAUUUCAUCCAGUCCGUUCUCUCUUGCAGUGGUUUUAAUGUUUAGAGAAAGAUGGAUGCAUCCCCCACAGCUGGGCAUUUUCGUGCCAUACCUUGUUCUGGUCACCUGGUGACAGCAUGUUGUUAAUGGUGCAUGUUACCACAACCCGCCCGCGUGACUCCAGCAGCCGUGCUGGUGGUUCUAAGAAGUGUAUGUCCAGAAAAGGUCAUUAGCAAAGCAACUAUCCCAACUACUAAAAAAACAGCUUGGUGUGGCCCAUGUUGGAAUCCCCUUUCUUUUGUUACUGGAAAUGAGUAGAAGUUCAUUAACGCCGUGUCUUGCAGUAAAUUCAGGCCCAUAAUUUAAGUGUGCUGUCAGGACCCAGAAAUCUGGUGUCUUGUGAUGUGUUGCUUGGCUGACUCCAUCUGCCUCAGUCGGGGAUGCUGGUUUUCCAUUGAUGGGGCACAAAGGCUCCUCGGCCAGUGUCAUCUCUUGGCAGUCUUACCCCUAUUCGAUAGUCUCUGGUCCAGCCAGAUGAAGCUGGUUGUGCUUGCCCUCUGCAUGGAAGCUCUUUCCUUCCCUCUCUUUCUAGCCAACCACUACUGUUCCCUUCAGAUGAAACCUCCCCCAGACAGUCUUCCGUGAUUGCUCAGGACCGGGUCAGGCUCCCUUGUGUGCUUCCACAGCACACUCUGCUUACCCCUUUGUGCACACAUCAUACAAGGUUCUAAUUUCUUAUUUCUUGUCUAUCUUCCCUGAUGCACACUGGCCCCAUAAUAGCCAGGAUUGGUGGUGUUUACAUUUGGAUAAACACUCUGACGCACAAGACAGUGCCUGACACGUGGCAGACACUCAGCAAAUGUUUGAAUGAGUGAGGGUAGAAAUGACAUACUUGGUGACAAUGGAAACCAGUAUGUAAAAUGUCUAGCAUUACGUUUUAUAAGGUGCUUUCAUAUACAUCAUGUCACAGCAAUUCUGGGAAAUCGAGGUCUUGAUCCCAUUGUACAGGCCUGGAAACAUCAGCUCGCCCCAGUGCGUAUACAUGGUUAGUCAGUGGGAAAGCCAGCAUUUAAGCUUGUCUCCUGACCCCAGAUCUGUGCUCUAACAUGCCAUGUGACCAUUCCAAGGCCGGUCUGUAAAAACAGGUAUUAGAGGAUGGAGCAAAAGCAGUGCGUCAUUCUUGUCCUAACCAACUAGAUCCACAGGGAGAAUCGGCCGAUUUUCAUUUCUCUUCCUUUCCUCCUUAGCAUCCUCCUCCACCCCCCAUGGAUUUUCAGUGAAAGCUUUACACUGACGUGUGAUGAAUCCUGUCCAAGUUUCAAGGUGCUGACAGUGAAUCUUCUGUAUUCAGAGCAGGCUGCCUGCCGUCCUUCUUUUCCUGGGGGUAGAGCUUUUGGAACAGUGGAGAACUGGGAGGGUUCAGGUAAAGUCCUUGAGCAAAUCGAAUAAGUAGGAUCAUAGUAUGUGAGGGAGUGAGAAAUGAGCCGAGCGGGAGGUAUGUGUGCGCAGGCACUGAGAAAGUGAGCAGAGGACGUGUGCGGAGGGCUGGUCUGGCUGGCAAGGAAGAGGCUGGAGAGAGGUGGCUGGCUGGGAUGGGCUGUGCAGUUAAAUAGCUGAGCAGAUCUUAAUAACAGAUGGGGGUGUGGUCCACAGACCUGCAGGGGAGCAGGCUAGAGGCAAGGGGACUGGCAGCGUCUUUGGACACACAGAGCUAGAAUGAAUGACCCACCUGGAUUGCAGAGCCUGGGCUGUUUCCACGAACAGGUAGCCCAGGGAAUCCAGCAUAAUCAGAGGAGGGGGAGAGAGAUUUGGGGUAGCAUUUCCUAAACUUUAAAAAUUACAGAAUUUAAUACUCAGCCCUGCUCUGCUUUAGGUACUCCUGGCAGUGUUGUAGAGAAAUUAAUUUUGCCACCACAGUAGAACAUUAGACCAAGUUCAUAAAUCCGCUCAGCGAUGGCUUGGAGUUACAAACGUCUCCUUUUAUCCCUGGUUAUUUGCAGUAAGAAGAUAAACUAGCCUUUAUUAUCGUUCUAUUAGGUGGGGGGCAAGGUCAGAAAGAGAUGGAGAUGCGGUGAGAGGUACCUUCUACAGGACAUUUGGAGGUCAGAGCAGCUCAGGGAGGUCAGGGUUGGCUAAUGUCGUUGUUCCUUGAUUCGUUCAACAAAAAUUUCUUGAGCACCUACUGUGUGCUAAGCACUGAUUAGCACUGAGAUGAUGAUGAUGGUAGUGAUGGAAAAAACAGGCAUGAUCUCUGUCAUCAUGGAACCUGAGUAAAUGCACAGAAAAGCAGUCCAGUAAAACUCAGGUUACAUGCAUGAGGGGAAAGUGCUCGAAGAGGAACAGGGCCUCCUUUCAGUGGUUCUCUGAGAGGUGAUGUCUAAGCUUGAGAGGAAAGGUGUCGGCAGAGGAGCUGGGGUGAGGGUUCCACAUGGAGAGAAUAGCUCAUGUAAAGGCUCUGCAGGGGGAAUGAGGUUGGCCUUUGAGGGUCCAGAAGAAGGCAGGGGUGGCCCGGGGUGAGGGUGGGAGGGGUGUGGCCCCUUCAGUGUGGUCUGUCUCCGCUCUGGACGGCUUCCGUUUCCGGAGUCUCACGGAAGUUCCUGAUAACCCAUGAGGUAUCUCAGCCCAGGGCACGCCAGGCCCUUAGGUGACUCGUCCCUCAGAGGCUGCCUGCCUCUUCCCUCUUCCUGUUAUCGUCACUUGUUGAGGGAAAUAAACAAGGAUAUACAAUGAAAGCAGAUUUUAGUGGACUUGAAACCAGAAGUCAUCUCAGGUGCCGAAAAGCAUGAAAAUCUGCCCCAGGGACUCUACGAUGACUUUAAACGGAACUGGUUUUACAGCAGAUGAUCUGGCUUGUCCUGCUGUGGGUCUCACAGGCAAGGCUUGCGAGCUGAAGAGCUGGAGGUGAAUGCAGCAAGGUGGUAGCAUUCAAAACGGAAAGCCUGGUUAAUUCUGGAAAGUGAAACCCAUGUCAUUGGCUGCCGGAAGUUCUGGGGAAGUUUGUCCAUUGGAUUAAGUGGAACUGUGUCCCCGGGGGCUGUCAUCGGGCUCUCUUUCUCAUGUGGAACCUCAGGUUUGGGAAUGCUGAGCGAAUGGCAAGGUGGCCUCAGGCCAGUGCCGUCGUCCGAGCCCUGAGCCCCCUCUCCUGCUGCAGUGCCCGCAUGCCCAGCUCUCUGUUCUGCCUGCGACAUUCAGGUGGCCUGGUGGCAAGCAGGUCUGCCUGUCUGUGUGCUCUUUUAACUACCUCUCCCUUCAUUUAGAAGAAAUGAACUUUGAACUUGGGUUGGGUGGGGGCUAGAAGGAAGAGCGUGCUAAAAAGUGUUGUGUAAACACUGCGGCUCUGAUCCUUCUAAUCUCAUACUACCUGUACGGACAGGUGGACGUGGAGAAGCUGCUGGCCGGAAAGGCGGAAUUUUUCCAGGCCGUGUGUUAUGCAAUAGAGGAGCGUAUCUUUGAAGCUGCAGGAGGAGGUCAGGGCAGCUUGUCCACUCGGCAUAUUACGCAGAAGUUUCCCUUUAGAAGCUCUUAUUUGCUUGAGGAUCAUUAGAAAUUCCUGUGCCAACGUUUAGCUGGAUCUCCGGGGUGAGUUAUCACCAGUCUGUAGUUAAAGCAAGCAAUUUUUUUUUAGAGGACUCUCCUCUUAAAGUUUUCCUGAGAUGUUAGUCUGAAACAGUUACCUUCAACAGUUGUUUUUGAAUAGAAUGUUGUUCUAUCCCAGUCUGUAACCUUGUACUCAGGUCUGCGAGGGAGAAGAAAAUGAGAAUGUUGUCUCUUCAUCCAGUUACAACGUGGAGGUAGACGGCGAUUUCACAGGUCUGUGGACCAGGCCGUGCUGAGCUUGCGUCUGGGACAGUGACCAGACAGAUAAAAGGAGAAGUGAGAGAUAUUUUUAGCCUGUCAGAGCUGCUUGGAAACAUUGGUUUCUCCCCCACCCAGCAAUUCCAGCAAGGAGGGUCAGGAGUCAGAGCCUUUGCCCUGACUCGGUGUGUAGAACAUUGGCUUCUAUGUGGCACUUUAGAACAUUUGUCACGACUGGUGAGUUGCCCACCAGAUUUGAUGGUGUAGCUUUGAAACCCACACAGUUCAGCCCAAAUAUUUGACGUCACUGUGGAGGGCCUCCGAGGGGGCUCAAGGGGGCUCAUGUGUCCCACCGUGGUCCAGGGACCAGGCCCUCCCUCGGUGCAGAUUUCCUGGGCAGUUGGGGCUUGAGGACAUAGACUCUUUUUCUCUUCUCCUAUGUUGAGGGGAUUCAAGCGUGCGUUGAAGUUCGGACCUCGAGGGCCACGUGACCUGUACAGUUAGGUUCUUACAAUUUUGGGAGCUCCAAUUUAAACCACUAGCAAUGUUAAAUCAACCAAAAACUUCAGUGAGGUUGUCAAUGGAGUGCAAAUUCAGAGACGUGAUGAAAGGAAGGGAUCCUGUCAGGGACAGACUGGCUGUUAGAACCACUUGUGCAGACUAUAGGGCUUUUGUAUAUGAUAAGAAAUGUGUCAGUCAGUUUCCAUACAAGGGUGUUUACGCCUCUGUGCUGAACUUCUGCUUGGCUGGUCAUUGCUUCAACCGAGGGCCGACCUCUCCUCCUGGCCAUCUGAGCAGGCGGUGCCAAGAAGAGCACAGGAGAAAGCAGUCGGUGUUGGGAAGAAGCCUUGGGGUAGGAUCAGGAAGCCGGCUGGGUUCUUGUCUCUUUCCUCCAACGCCCCCUCCCCCGCCACAUCCAUCCCAUGUCCCCAUGCCUUAGUUUCCUCAUCCGUAAAAUGAGAACGGUGAAGUACCCAGCUCAGAGGGCUGAUGUGAGGCCUGAAUGGGUUAAUGUGUGUGAAGUGCCUGCAAGAUGGUUUGCCUUUCCUACAAUGAAUCACAGGCACUACCUUCCAGGUGAGAGGCUGGGCUCUUUCUCCCCCUCUCCAGGCUGCUUUACCUCCAAGUGGCAAAUGGUAAAUGGCCGACGUGUUCACGAGAGAGCCAGUCAGAGGGAAUAGACGGACCGAGGAAACCACCACGGCAGGGUGGGCUCUCGAGGCCCUUCCGACCAGAGUGGGGUCAGGUUGCCACCUCCUUCUCCUGAUGCUUACACAGUGGUCCUUACCUCACCAGAAAAAGCCACCACCCUUGGCCCCACCUGGGACCCGUGCUCCAGCAUCUCCCCCAGAUGACCCGUGCAGUGGAGACAAGGGGCCUCCGGUAGGCAAUGUAGCUGACCCGGAGACAGUGCCCCCACAGGCUUGCCGCAGUACCCGGCAGCAUUCACCAGUUUUCCUCCACUUUGGAGGGUCAUCGUCAGACUCACUCGUCGGGGCUGAGCUCUUUACUAGCUGGUUCUCCUUGAUGGAAACUCUCUCACUGAAACUUUCCAUUCUCAGCCUACGUCGUUUCAAACCCUCGGUGCACUUCUCUGAGGGCUCAGCUGGCUACCCCUAAAAUAGCCUGGUGAAGCUAGGCGCUCUGGUUUUCAUGCUGCUCCCCCGAAACAGCUGACACGUCAGGGCUUCUGCAGAGGUUUUCAGUGGGAGAAAGAUAUGUUUUGGGGCCAGCUCAGAGAGCUCGUGGCUCCUUUUCAGAAUUUACUUCGUGGUUUGGCCCCACGUGGUGGAGAACCCUGUCCUCUUAGGUUUGGGUGGUUCCAUCCAGUCUUCCACUGAGAAUUACAUCUUUAAAGGCCGCCUCUGGGCAUCAGAGUGGCACCUCCCUGCUAGAGACCUGGGGACUCAUGAGGGGCAUCUGCAAAGCUGACGGGGGCCAGCAGGUGAGCACUUCAGGAACAGAAAGCCAGGGUGAGGGCCGGGGAAGUUCUGCUGAUUAUCUAGCAAGUCACAGACCUGAAAUUCUGUCAGAUCCCUGGGUAGAGAGAGAACCACCCGGAAUAGAUAAUGAAGUCUGAAAUCAACUUCGCAGUGAACCAGACUGUGAGAAUGGCCACUGUUCUUUAUCACUCAAAAUUGUUAGUCCAAAAAGCUAGGAAAGGCCAGCCACUUCUGGUGGUCAAAACGAAGCCUUCCUAGUUUUCUGCAACAAACCUGGCAAUGCUCUCCCCUCCCCCCCAGGGGCUGGCCGCUAGAACGGCUGUCUGAGGCUGCCCCCUUGCGGCCAGCACCUGGCAGUGCAUGUGUGACCUGUUGCUGGAUCCUCUUUGUGAAAUAUGUUGAUUUUAAAGAUCUUCUACCAUGAGUUUUCUCAGUCCCACUCUCACUGCACGUAUCAUUCCAUCUCCAGGGCUUAAGGGCUUAACCACUCUGCUCUGGCAUCCGUCUAAUCUGCUCUUUGCUCCAUUUCGACUCCAGAGUCACUACGUUCCAGUAAGCUUUUCUUCUGAGCCUCCAGGCUGAUCUUUCUAAAACGUGGAUCUGAUAGUCUUUCCCUGACUUACAGCCCUUCAAUGGGUCCUCCUUUUCCCUGUUCCAGCCCAUCUCUCAGAAUACUCCAAGCUCAGCUCCUCUGCCCGGGGUGGCAUCUCUGCACAUGCCCUUCUCUCUCCCUCAUCUGUCUACCUGCCAACACCUGCUCCUUCCUAAGAUUCAUCUCAGAAUUCAGCCUAGAGUCCUCCAGAAAGCUGUGUCUGACAUUUCAGAGCCGCCACUCCCUCCUCACUCCUCACAGGUGCCGCCGCCUCUGGGGGACUUGCGCCUCUGCCGCAGGGACCGUGUCUUUCUGCUCUUCACUGCCAGCACCUGACACAGUAUGUGACAUGGAGUACCUGUCCCUUAAGUGUCGUUGAUUGAAAGAACUGAACGUAUUACAGGGACUCAGUACACAUCCGUUGAUUUGUUGAGACGUAGAUGCUGUGAGUGCAGAGGAGGGUGACGUGCCGGAGCAGUCCAGGGAGGCUCCGCGGAGCAGGUGGGAAAUACUAAGCUGAACAUUCAAGGUUUUGCACGUUGAAAAUGGGCAAAGAACAAAAAUACCCGAGGUGGAGGAGCUCAGCGUGUGCGACUGCUGGCAACUCCACCGCUCUGUCCACACGGCCCGGAGGCAGGGAGCCCUGGAGCCGGGGUGGAGGCGGCCUGCUAGUUGGAGCAGAGGGUUUAUUGAAAGGAGAUAGAGAGAAGGCCCUGAGGGUGGGUUGGAUUUAGGUGGUGGGAAGGCCUCAAAGGCACGUGGGUUCUUGCAGGCGGUGAGUGUCAUUAUUUUUGAAAGCUAGUGACUUGGUCAAAGUGGUGUUGAGAGUGGGAGCUGCCUUGUGGCCCUGCCUUCAUCUUCCAUCCCGGCUUUGAGGCUCCUCUGGUGACCCCAGAUGUGAAGCCCCCUCCUAUCAAAUGCCUCACCUUUAAGGGCUGGAUCUUUUGUAAACAAAGGCUUUCCUUCUGGCGCUGCCCUUGACCUGGCUCUGAGCUGUUGGUCCUUUGGGCCCAUUCAGCUCUGUCCCAUCCCUCUCUCCUCGUGACUGGUAAUGACCCGGAAGGUGGCAGCACCCACGCAGCAGGUGGCCCCAGAGCUGAGUCACCGCCCUGGGAACUGUGCCCUGGUGAGGCCGGCUCAGGCAAACUGGGGAACUCUCCACCUCACCCCGGCUCUGUGAGGCCUCUCAGUGCAACAGCCAGAGCAAAGGAAAAUGGAUUCUUUUAUGCAUCGAGCUGAUGAGAAAGUGAAAUAAAGCUAAUUGAAGAACCUAAAGGAAGUUAUCCUAAUGGUAGUCUCUAGCUGGUGUCUUUGGCAAGCACAGAGUUUUUCCUCACAAUGAUAGUUAUGGCCAUGAUUGUUUUAUUUAAACACAUGAAAAUCAUCCCUUUACACUUAUCUUUAAAAAAUGGGACGAAGAAGAUUUUAAAAUGAUGGUUUACAAUUCUGUAUGACCUUAUGAAUUCAGAGAGCCUAAGAAAUAAAAUGUUGUGGAGAGAUAUCUAAGCUGUCAAUGUUCUAGGAAAUGUGCAAAUGAGGUUUAGGGUUUUUUUUUUUAAGUGUUUUAUUAUUCAUAGAUACUCUGAGGGAGGUUGUUUUUAAAAAUUAUGAUGCUUUUAUUUCAUUCCCAGAGAAGAUAAAAAUGUAGUGUUGCUUCUGAAAGAGGGUUUUAGAAAAAAAGGUCUGGCUUGUUUACUACACCAAUGAAUAGAGAUGACCUCAGUCCGAAAAAACAAGUUAACCAUAAUAUCGCUCCUUUGCCUGGCAAAAUAAGCCUUUAUCAAGUAGCAAAAGAAGUGCAAGUCUGACCACCUAGUCAUCAUUUCAGCUGAUCAGGAUUUUCCAAAAGACAAAACAAAAAGCUCUCUCCAUUUUCACAACUGAACAAUAGCUCUUAGGAAAUACUACCAGCUUGCUCAGUUCCUAUAAGGCCGUAAAAAAAGUCUGGUGACAAUUACUCACUCAGUCGCCUGAAUGCAAUGCUGUACGUGGUUAACUCUGCUGUCGCCACUGUGAGCUUUCGAAGUUG